rnacentral:rRNA from 1 species
AGGGCACCACCAGGAGUGGAGCCUGCGGCUUAAUUUGACUCAACACGGGAAAACUCACCCGGCCCGGACACUGGAAGGAUUGACAGAUUGAGAGCUCUUUCUUGAUUCAGUGGGUGGUGGUGCAUGGCCGUUCUUAGUUGGUGGAGUGAUUUGUCUGGUUAAUUCCGAUAACGAACGAGACUCUAGCCUACUAAAUAGAUAGUCGGCUUACAAACGUCGACUAGACUUCUUAGAGGGACAGGCGGUGAUUCAACCGCACGAAACAGAGCAAUAACAGGUCUGUGAUGCCCUUAGAUGCCCGGGGCCGCACGCGCGCUACACUGAAGUGAUCAGCGUGCUUUUUCAGCCUACUCUGUCAAGAGUGGGAAACCCAAUGAACCUUCUUCGUGAUUGGGAUAGGGGAUUGUAAUUAUUCCCCUUGAACGAGGAAUUCCCAGUAAGCGCGAGUCAUAAGCUCGCGUUGAUUACGUCCCUGCCCUUUGUACACACCGCCCGUCGCUACUACCGAUUGAAUGUUUU